GAUUUGCGUUAGGGAUUGAAGUGGAAAUCCUUUUGCUGAAACGAAGUGGAAGCAAAAGAUUGCAAUGAAAAGCCCGCCCGAAG
rnacentral:sRNA from 1 species